CUCACAAAAAGGAAAGUUAUAAAGGAAGUCGACCUCGUUGCCGCACUCUUCAAUAGUCCCUGGUGAAACUAUUCCCUCGGUAGUAUCGUAGCUGCAAAGAAACCUGUCUUUCUAGCAAGAGUUGCCGACGAAAGUUCUCUAUGAAAAUCUCCGCUCUCUGGUCAAUGUCCUCCUCAUAAGCGUAACUUUUGGUCCUUUGAAGGACUCGAUCCCACUUGUUUUGAUCUGAUUCUACAUCUUCAAUACACCCAUGCAACCCUAAUCGAUCGCUAAAACUCAAACGCCGCUGCCUUUUAGAGGCAUUGUUGAGAAUCGAAGCUAAGCGCCAUCGCCUGAGAUUAAAGCUUAAUAGAAACUUCAGCUUCUUCACAGCCUUCUUCAGGUGGCCUAGCACCUUCCUAUUUUGUCUGCCCAUUUUGACGCUCAGGUGAGAGUUUGAUGCUAAAAAGUGAAUGUAAAUGGGAGGAUAUUGAGCUAUUUAUAAGGAAGAUGAGAUUCAGGGGCUGAGGAUUUUCA
rnacentral:misc_RNA from 1 species